UGGGGAAUUUUGGACAAUGGGCGAAAGCCUGAUCCAGCAAUGCCGCGUGUGUGAAGAAGGCCUUCGGGUUGUAAAGCACUUUUGUCCGGAAAGAAAUCCUUGGCUCUAAUACAGUCGGGGGAUGACGGUACCGGAAGAAUAAGCACCGGCUAACUACGUGCCAGCAGCCGCGGUAAUACGUAGGGUGCAAGCGUUAAUCGGAAUUACUGGGCGUAAAGCGUGCGCAGGCGGUUUGCUAAGACCGAUGUGAAAUCCCCGGGCUCAACCUGGGAACUGCAUUGGUGACUGGCAGGCUAGAGUAUGGCAGAGGGGGGUAGAAUUCCACGUGUAGCAGUGAAAUGCGUAGAGAUGUGGAGGAAUACGAUGGCGAAGGCAGCCCCCUGGGCCAAUACUGACGCUCAUGCACGAAAGCGUGGGGAGCAAACAGGAUUAGAUACCCUGGUAGUCCACGCCCUAAACGAUGUCAGCUAGUUGUUGGGGGAUUCAUUUCCUUAGUAACGUAGCUAACGCGUGAAGUUGACCGCCUGGGGAGUACGGUCGCAAGAUUAAAACUCAAAGGAAUUGAC
rnacentral:rRNA from 1 species